rnacentral:rRNA from 1 species
UGUCGUCAGCUCGUGUCGUGAGAUGUUGGGUUAAGUCCCGCAACGAGCGCAACCCUUGAUUUUAGUUGCCAGCAUUUAGUUGGGCACUCUAAAGUGACUGCCGGUGCAAGCCGGAGGAAGGUGGGGAUGACGUCAAAUCAUCAUGCCCCUUAUGACCUGGGCUACACACGUGCUACAAUGGAUAGUACAAAGGGUCGCGAAGCCGCGAGGUGGAGCUAAUCCCAUAAAACUAUUCUCAGUUCGGAUUGUAGGCUGCAACUCGCCUACAUGAAGCCGGAAUCGCUAGUAAUCGUGGAUCAGCAUGCCACGGUGAAUACGUUCCCGGGCCUUGUACACACCGCCCGUCACACCACGAGAGUUUGUAACACCCGAAGUCGGUAGGGUAACCUUUAUGGAGCCAGCCGCCGAAGGUGGGACAGAUAAUUGGGGUGAAGUCGUAACAAGGUAGCCGUAUCGGAAGGUGCGGCUGGAUCACCUCCUUU